rnacentral:rRNA from 1 species
UACAGAGGGGGCAAGCGUUGUUCGGAAUUACUGGGCGUAAAGGGCGCGUAGGCGGCCUGCUAAGUCGGAUGUGAAAUCCCUCGGCUCAACCGAGGAACUGCAUCCGAUACUGGCGGGCUUGAAUCCGGGAGAGGGAUGUGGAAUUCCAGGUGUAGCGGUGAAAUGCGUAGAUAUUCGCAAGAACACCAGUGGCGAAGGCGGCUCACUGGCCCGAUACUGACGCUGAGGCACGAAAGCGUGGGGAGCAAACAGG